rnacentral:tRNA from 1 species
GGUGCUGUGGCUCAGUGGUAGAGUGCUAGCCUUGAGCUAAAGAGCUGAAGGACAGCACCC